AAUUGAAUUCUAGUUUAUAGUUUGUAAGGAACUUCAAAACAAACCAACAUGGCGAAUAGGACCAUAUCUGAUGCAAAAUCUAUUCGUGGGACAAAUCCUCAGUAUUUGAUAGAAAAAAUAACUAGAACUCGUAUUUACGAAUGUAAAUAUUGGAAGGAAGAGUGUUUUGCAUUGACUGCUGAGUUACUUGUUGAUAAAGCAAUGGACUUAAAAGAAAUUGGCGGCACUUUUGGAGGAAACAUAAAGCCAACACCAUUUCUCUGUCUUAUACUUAAAAUGCUACAGCUGCAACCAGAAAAGGAUAUUAUUGUUGAGUUUAUAAAAAAUGAAGACUAUAAGUAUGUGCGUGCACUAGGUGCAUUUUACAUGAGAUUAGUUGGGACUUCUCAGGAAUGCUACAAAUAUCUUGAACCAUUAUAUAAUGAUUACAGAAAAAUGAGGUAUAAAGGAAAGAUAGCAGGUGCUACUAUAAUACAUAUGGAUGAAUUUAUUGAUUCAAUACUUCAUGAAGAACGAGUUUGUGAUGUAAUGUUACCAAGGAUUCAGAAGCGACAUAUACUAGAAGACUUGGAAGAAUUAGAGCCCAGGAUAAGUGCUUUAGAAGAUGAUUUAGAUGAUUUGGAAUCUGAAGAGGAAGAAAUACAAGAAGAACUGCCUAUUAGACAACGUAGUGAGUCUCCCAUUGAACGUAAACGCAGAAGAAGCAGAACACCAGAAAAAAGGAGGAGAUCGCGUUCUGCUUCUCCUUAUAGAAAUAGACGAAGUCCUAGUCCACGUCGUCAUCGUCAUCGGAGUCGCUCAAGAUCACCUAGACACAGACGUCACCAUUCUAGAUCUCCAAAACGAAGAAGAUAAAUUUGAAAUAUUUUUAUGCGGUUUGUAUUAAAUGGCUUCGAUCUAAAAGGUGCUAAACAGCCUUUCAUUAGAGCAAAAUCCCGAAAAAUUUAUUCAUGCAUUUUAUAAAUGCUGAUCGUUUUCUAAAUGCUGAACGUUUAGUAUUUGCUAAACGUUUUGUAAACGUUGCAGUAUUAAUUUAUAACUAAA